rnacentral:lncRNA from 1 species
GAGCUGGGAAGGGACCAGCUUUGGGGAGUCUCAAAGCAAGUGUGAAUAUGAAGAAACCCAAACUCUGAGAAGGCUGCAACACAGCACCCCUAGAGACACCACCCCUUUUGGUGUCUUGACCAGUCACAGAUGGAGAGUCCCACGGACUGAGACGACAGGGGUCACCUAAGACCAUCAGAAAACACAGGGUUCCAGGUCUAUUCUGUCUGCCACAGACAAAUGGUACCGUUCACACACCGGCCACACUGUCUACGUGCUCGCCUCUAACCGGAAGGGAUCUCAUCUCAUGAUGCUGGACUUCAUCUUCAAAGCAAGGGGGCUUACAGUAAGCCCGAAUGAUUUCUACCCAUCCCUGAGGACUCCUGCCCCACCAAGCCAUCAAAUUGACUUCCCCCAGUUCUCGUAAGAGGAGGUACUCGAACAUCCCUGAGCCAGGCAGGUACCCCAAAUCCCUAUCCCUAUUAGAGCAACGUAGACCACAGGCCAAGUGUCAGCUACCAAGACAAGACACAGCUCUUUCUCCAAAACAGUAAGAGUUUGGUUUUUUUGUGCCAAAUAUGAGUGACCAGAACUCAGGAACACAGAUUCAGGUUGCUUCUGAACCAGUUUUCAAAGGGCUCGCGCUUUCAUGGUCUUUUUAUUGUAAUAGAACACAGAAAGUUAUAUGUUAACACAUUUUUUUUCCUAGCAACAUUGGUGAGAUCAUCAAGCAAGCAGGAUACACACAGCAAAGCAGAGAAAUGUCUUAUGUAGCUCUCAGCAACUGUCUAACAAUGUUCUUAGUCUUUAAGUUGGUAGAAGCUAGGGAAUCUAUGUUAAUAUAGUUCAUAAGCUGUACCUUAUAGAUGCAGGAUGUUAGGGCAGGCAUGGAGGUAAACUGUAAAUGGCUACGAAGGUGGUUAAAGAUAGCCUAAGAUAAUCGUGACCUUGGAUCUGCGCCAUUCCAACUCUCUGUCAGAAGGUCCUGAUCUCGUGUGAGGAGACUUCCGACACAGACGGCUGCUUUUAGGGAGCGUCGGUUCACACACAUAUCCACCCAUGCACAGUUGUAGCCUACACGGUGCAGAUGGAGCAUGAGGCCCUAAGUGAGCCUAUACUAAGAUGGACAGGGAUGGACCAAGAUGGUGGGGAGGGGCAGUCACAUGCAGCCUCUAAGAACCUCCAGUCUGGCACACAGAGGUGAGAGUCUGUUUUCCUUUGCCAGAAAGACAAACGCCAGGGUCCCCAGGGGAAGACCUGAGAGAGAGAAGCUCACAAUGGACAAAUAAGAGUUCUAAGGAAGCCCCAAAGGCUGGACAUCCUCUCCUGCACGUGUGCCUCACGUCCAAGCAGCGUCAUUUUGCAUCAGCAGCUGACCCCCUCCAGGAGCGGGUGCUGACAUCUAAUUGGCACUGAAAACGAUGAUCAUGACAACCACUUGAUGUUGCUGGAGGCUUUUGCCAUUUAUCUGGGAGUCUGGCUCACAUCACAUCUUCUUAAGAGCAGAGGACUCAUUAAUUACUCAUGGAGCACAAGUCAUUAUUGUCCUUAAUUGUCACAUUGAGGUUGCUGUUGGAAGUGUCGUUCUCUGUCAACAUGAAAUAGAUUUUUCCCUUCUGUAAUUUGCUUGGCACCAUUUUCCCUGUUCGUGGGUGGAAGCAUCGGCCAACAUUGCAGGACCCACCUGCCUGAUAAUUUAAGAGUUCAUCUUCCUGUUUGCCUUUGAUGUACCCUGGGAACAUGGCUCCCUAGUUUCCCUGGGAACACAUACCCUCACCUGGAUUCCAGCCUCACACCAUGGAGACGUGGCUCCAUGGCAGACCAAGGAAUUCUUCCUAUGAUCUGAGUGGGAUUGCAGGCUGCCUGUUGGAUAGAUGUCUCCAGAGCAUCCUUACAUUUCCGUCACUUGCUUUGCAGACAUGAGGUCCUGAGUUUGCCCCUAGGAGCCAUGGAAAAAGCUGGGUCUGAUAACGGGUUUAUAAUCACAGCCCUGAGGAGGCAGAGACAGGGGGACCCCCAGGUCCUGGACACCCAGCUGAACUUAACCAGUGAAUUCCAGGCCAGUGAGGGACCAUUUCCAAAAAAAAAAAAGUGAUGCUAGGCAUGGUGGCAAACCCCUUUAAUCACAGUGUUUGGGAGGCAGAGGCAGGCAGAUCUUUCUGAGUUUAAGACCAGCCUCUCCCUGUGAUGACAUAUUUUCCUGAAAAUAUCUUUUGCCUUAGAAGAGAAGAAACGUUUUCCAGAUCCCACAGCAAGUUUAUGAUAUGCCUUCCAAUCAUUGAAGACUAUGUACCUAGCCUGCUGUCCUACUGUGUGCUUGGCCUGUUUAACUUUGACUUACCUUUAAGAGAUAAUGUAGCUAACCCUCUUGCCUUGAAUUUUCCUCGGCUUCUAUGACCUAACCUACACUCAUAGCUGUGCAUCUGGCAAGUCAGGGAAGAACUAGGCGCCUGAUCUUGGAAUCUAAAGGUUGGAAGUCUACAGUCAUUCCCCCUCUGUACUCUGCCUCGCUGUGUGUCUUCAGGACACUUCUAUACUCUGUGAUUUUUGCACCUGGAGUCCUUUGUUUCUCUUUGUGAGAGAUCUCAGCGGGUGACCCUGAGUGUCCUGUAGUCAUCUUGCAACAGAGCCGCAAAGCCAGAAGACACAUGGGAAGAUCAGCUCUGAAAACUGUGCACUGCUGAGCUGGGGUUAGGGACUUGCAAUCUCCAGAGAUUGUCACAGGGAAAAGGAGACCUGCUAAACACAGGGAGGGCCCCAACAGUGACAGUGAAAGCUAAUAUUGACCAUGGCCAACAGCAGUGGCUGAGGUCUCAUUAUGGACUGGACCGGAUUACAGACCAAAAAGGUGGUAGGUGGAUUUCUGAG